AGUAUUUUACAUUUAUUUAGCAGCAUACAUAAGUAAAAAAUAUGUGCAAUUAAUUUCAUGAUGGCAUGUCAUAUUACAGCUAGAAUUAGUUUCACAAGUAUGCUAUAGAAAAUUGCCAGAAAUAUGAAAGUAUUAUUAACUGAUAAAUAUGAAAGUAUUAUUAACUGAACAUUAGAAGGAAGAAGACACAUUAAAAUAAAGUGAAUUACUUAAGAAUUAAAAAACUGAAUUACAAAAAUUGACAGUAUUUUGGCCAAUAUAAAUAUAUUAAAUGGUUAGCCUAGAUGACUGAUUAUUGUUUAUUUUAUUUUACUGCAAAAUGACAAAUAAGGUAUUUAAGAAAGAAGAAAAGGUUUAAAAUAUUUUGUCUUUAUACAAGGAUUUAUUUUUGUUCAACAUGCACUGUACAUGUGCAUGCAAAUCUCUGGAUUCUUAAGGUUACUAGAAACCAAAGAUGCUGGAAACUUGCUUUGCUUUUUUAAAAGACAUUCUGAUUGGCACUGCAAAAACUGGCUCUACACCAGCUGUCUGAAUGACACUCAUGUGAUACAUGAUUCGCAGAGAAAAUGAUUGCUUCCGAUGUUAGUGCAAAAACCGCUUUUUUGGGGAUUGCAAUAUAAAAUUCUGACUUUUACAGUCAAUUUUUGAAUUCUGACUUUCCCCAGUUUUCCAGGCAGCCUGGCAACCCUCCCCCCAAAAAACUAAUGUUGUCCUUGUGUGCGCACAUGUUUAAGAACAUUGGCCCUUCCACCAUACCAAAAUCGAAAAAUCACAAUGACAAAUGGUAUACAUAGCAAUACUACAUUUCCUCGAUGAAAUAAUAGAAGGAAAGUCAUCUAUGUACGAUUUUUGAAAAGUACACAAGUAUUUUAUAUCUUUUGCAGGCAUAACUAAGACAAAUGAUCGCUGUUUCUUAAACUGUUUUUAGGAAGCACAUGAAACUCACUGGCAAGAUGGACAAAAAAAAACAACCUCGAUUGUGUUUCUGCUCAUUUCCUAAUAUAUGCCUAUGACCCCUCACCAAAGUACUGAAACACGAUGUUUUCAGACUCGCUCCAUAUCUCACUGAUGAAAUGACUUUGGUUCUCCUUUUUAUAUGCAUCUAGAGGGGAAAAAACAUGUGCUUUCAGACACCAAAAAGUGACAUUUUUGGGUGCAAAUAAUGAACUGUAAACCAAGGUAUAAAAAAAUCAUGAGCAAUUUUAAAAGUGGGAGAAUCAAAUCAGGUUGGUGAGAAUAUGGUCGGAAAUCAGGAGUCUCCUGCCUAAAUCAGGACAGUUGGCAACUCUGCAAGAUAAAUAAUUAUUUAAAAAUAUUUUAAUAUAAAACCUGCAAAUUGAUCACAGUAAGGUCAUGGAAGACCUUGCUAGUAUAUACUUUAAUAGCUGGCAUAAUUUGUAGUUAGAUACUGCAUUUCAUUGUGGUGGUGAUAUCUGUGAAUUUAAAGGUUAACAGAUAACACAAGCAUAAGGCGAAAUUUCCUAAUUAACGGACUUUGUGAAAAAAUGUGGAGAAGUGAUAAUAAAUGAAAAUGAUAUUAACAGGAAAUUUUUAGUGCAAUGACAAUGCCCCAGUAAUCAGACAACUAAUGGAUGGUAAAAUCUGCAGUAUUGUUUUAAAUACAAAAUAUAAUGCUACUGAUUGUGAAAAAGGUUACAAACAGCUUUUUGAGAAUGAAAAGGUUUCAAAGGAAAGGUUUAGGGGGAAUUCUCGACAUGGUAAUUAUGACACUUGGAUAAUGAAAAUCAAGCAACCAAACAAGAAUCUGUGCCUAUCUAUGAAUUUAAUACUGUUAAAAAUUUAAAUAUGAAGCUCAAUAUUGUUAGCAGUCUCUCAUAAUUUUAAACUUCAUAAUGGCAUUAUAAUAAGUCAUUUGACACAAACAUGCAAGAGCAGGACUAGUAUUAAAUUUCAUUGUUUAAGACAACAACAGGCUACUACCAAUUUUACUUCUAUGUAUAGUUUGAUAAGCCAACCAGCACAUCAUUUGCCAACUUGGAAAUUUUCACAAGAGUGUUGUAACACCAAGAUGCCAGCACUUUUAUUAAGAUCAGUUUUUAACUUGAAAAGAGCACUCUUAGAAGUUUCAGUCCAUUACUCUGGUUAAUGAAAAAGGAUCCCUACUUGUAUAAUUAUGCAACUUCAUGAAAGUAGCUUCCCAAGUUAAAGAACUGAUUUUCAUAAUGUUGAAUCAUCUAUGCCAUGCAACUCUUGUGAAUAUUUUUCUUUGCAAAUUUGAACUGCAUUCCCGUUAUAAUGAUUCAAACACUUUCAUAAUGAGAUAACCUUACGCAGCAAGCCUAAGGUAAAUUGGUAAUUUGAUUUUUCUUGUUUAUUUGCAAUCUAUUUACUUACUGUUUCUAAUGCUGCAUUUAGAACAAAAGAUGUUUUAUAGAACAAAAUAAAGAAUCUCAAGAUUACUUCACCAACUCCAAAGUUUUACUGCUCAGUCUAACUUUUCUAAAUUACACAUCAAGGGAGAAAAUACAGGACAUAGGUACAUAAAUGACACAUACAUGAGAAAUGAUCACAACACAUUUCCUUAGCAAAUAUACUGAUAGAGGACCUUCCAAAAAUGACACAAGAAAAUUAACAUGCUUGGGAAUAUGGCACUCAUUUCUGCAGCUGAAAAAAUAUAUAACAAUCUACAUCAAUUACUCCAUUUGUAAAAUGUCAUGUGAUGUUAUUGAACGACUGUGGAUCAAAACACAAGUUAUGCAAUUAUUUUAGAGCAGUUCAUUUAAAAUUUAAACAAAAAAGAAGAAAAGGCCCACUCUAAAGUACUACUGCUAAUAAAGCUCUCAAACUGUUUACUGACCAUAUUUUUGGAGCUCAGAUUUCCUUACCUUCAUAGCUAACAACAAAACAAUGGCUUGUCCAAUACAUCAAAUAAAAAAUUUCAGAUGCAUAUCCCAAUUUUAAUAUAAACUACAUACAAAUGCAUAAAUUUAUGAUAUAAUUUCACCAUAUAACAUGGAAAAAGUUCAAAUUAUAGUUCUUUAGUUUCUUUUUGACAUAAAAAGUAAUAAUUCACAAGUAGAAAGAGAAAGAUACAACUCUUACACAAUUUGCAAAUAAAAUUUUCGAUUUUGCCAAAUUCUAGUUUGACACUUUUGUAUUCUAGCAAGAAAUAACAUUUUUUAAUGGAUAAAGCUCAGUGAAUCAAGUUGAGAAGAUCAAUGAUUAAUUACAAAACGUUAACACACCAAAAUUUGUCAACAGAAAAGUUUAAGAAAGCUUAGAAUCAAGAAAGUACAAACCCAAAAUGAAAUAUAUAGGAAUAGCACAUUAUAAAAAGAACUUUGCUUAGUUUUACUUUAUCACACAGGUACAACAUGCAAAUAUCAUGACAAAAACCAGAAGGCUUUCUACAAAUACAUAAAAUUCAUUUCUUUAUAGUAACAGAAAAUAUAUGUCGCAGGAGUAAUUGAAAAUAAAUAAUAUGCACUUUGUAAAAGACCAGGAUAAUAUAAUAAUCCUAAUCCCAUAAGAAAACAUUUAAUAGAUGGUUUCAUGAAAGUAUUUUUAUCCAAAUUUAUACAAUAAAUUAAAAGGAAAUAUUCUUCAGCAUGGUAACAGAAACUGUGUAAGUAUAAAAAUAUGAACAACAUAGUAACAAGUUGGAUUACAAUAUUAAAAUAUAAAUAAUUAACAGUGAAUUUAUACCUAUAUUACAUGUAUUAAACUGAAAAAAGUGCACUGAUAACCCCCUCCACCCAUUUCCUAAUCAAGUGUUUUCAUUUUCAUAACUUAUAAAUUUUAAGCUAAUACAGAUUGAAAGACAAAAAUUAUUUGAUAUAAGUCUACAUCCAAUCAUUUUGGGGUUCAAAGAAAUUACACGCAUUUAUACACAACUACGGCAAAGAGUAAUAAUAUUCUAAUCUAAUACUUAUUAAAAGUCACUUCAUUCAAAAAUGUUUUUAAUGAGGAAAAUUAUCAGUCAUAGAUUCAGAGCAUUUAAAAUAUACACAUUUUACACACAAACAUCAAUCACUGAUCUUUAAUUUGGCUUUGAAAUUUGAAGCAAAAAUUGACCAAGAAAUGAUUUUUAAAAUGAAAGGAAGUAAAACUAGCUCUAUUCACUAUAACUUUAAUAACACAAUUAUUAAUGUAUAACAUUAAGAUUCUUAACAGUUGAGGAAUGAAUGAAAAAAAGUUUGUUCUAAAGUUAUUUUCAUUUAGACAUAUGGACGGAAAAUAAAUGUCACAAUAAAAGAACAGAUAAAAUUUCUUUGAAAGAUGAAAAGCACUUCAAACUAUAUUUAACAGAACGCACAAUUAAAUGAUAGUCUUGAACUGCAAAAGCUUAAAACAGAAAAAUACUUAAAAUGAAAUCUUGACAAAGCUACACUUGUACAUGUAUAUUUAGUCCUUCAAAAUAAAUGUUUUUAACCUUGUACUUCUACGUAACAGGUUGAAACAAUCUUGUAUUAAUAAUCACUAGAUAUUAAAUAAGGAAAUAUUAAACACAUAUAACAUAUACAUAUAUACAAAAAGGUGUAAUAUUUCAAAGCAAUGAAGUUAUAUUUACUUAUAAUGGGACUUAAUAAAAUUUACAUAAUGAAUACCCUUAUUUUACAGGAAAAUGAUUAUUAAAAAAAUUGAGAAUCAUUUCCUUCCACGAUGCUUAAAAGAAAUCUUAAUAUUCAAAAUUCUCUACACAUACUACUAUAUUUGUACUUUAUCAAAAAGGAUUUUUAAAACACAAAGUAAAGAAUUUCAAGCAAAAUAAGUCUAAAAA
rnacentral:lncRNA from 1 species